UUCGAAGCUGGAAAGUCUCGCUCCAACUUGUACGCCGAAUGUAAAAUGUGAACCACCGAAGGGUUAACAAGUGGAAAUGCCAAACACUCGUCGCACACCACUUCCCAUUACCCUCGUAGCCACCACAAUUAUUUCCCGCUGAAACUCAUGUUUAAUAUACACUUGCACGCGUAGAUAGCUGGGAAACUAAAAGUAUAGAAAGCAUGACAGAUAACUGGACAGACAGCGGCAGUGCAGAAAUAUAACAAUCGUUUGUUUCAUUGACAUAAACUUGAAAGCGACCGAUUCACUUCAAUUUAUACUACAAAUACUCUGAGAUUAUAUCACAUUACAGAUCACUUAGUAGGAACAAUGUUUUUAGUUAUUUUGUUUUGUUUUGUUCUGUAUGUUAUUAAUGAUGUAAAGGCGUUAUAUAUAUGAACUUUUCUUACAGUAUGUAGCAGCAAUUUUUGAAAUAUAUUUUGCAUAUAAACAUCGGCUAUACACGUCAUACACCA